GUGCCUGUAGCUCAGCGGAUAGAGCGUUGGCCUCCGGAGCCAAAGGUCUGGGGUUCGAAUCCCCGCAGGCACGCCA
rnacentral:tRNA from 3 species